UACGUUCCCGGGCCCUGUACACGCCGCCCGUCACACCACGAAAGCCGGCAACACCCGAAGCCGGUGGCCCAACCCGCAAGGGAGGGAGCCGUCGAAGGUGGGGUUGGUGAUUGGGGUG
rnacentral:rRNA from 1 species